rnacentral:misc_RNA from 1 species
CCAAUAGCGUAUAUUUAAGUUGUUGUGGUUAAAAAGCUCGUAGUUGAACCUUGGGCCUGGCUGGCCGGUCCGCCUCACCGCGUGUACUGGUCCGGCCGGGCCUUUCCCUCUGUGGAACCCCAUGCCCUUCACUGGGUGUGGCGGGGAAACAGGACUUUUACUGUGAAAAAAUUAGAGUGCUCCAGGCAGGCCUAUGCUCGAAUACAUUAGCAUGGAAUAAUAGAAUAGGACGUGUGGUUCUAUUUUGUUGGUUUCGAGGACCGCCGUAAUGAUUAAUAGGGACAGUCGGGGGCAUCAGUAUUCAAUUGUCAGAGGUGAAAUUCUUGGAUUUAUUGAAGACUAACUACUGCGAAAGCAUUUGCCAAGGAUGUUUUCAUUAAUCAGGAACGAAAGUUAGGGGAUCGAAGACGAUCAGAUACCGUCGUAGUCUUAACCAUAAACUAUGCCGACUAGGGAUCGGACGGUGUUAUUUUUUGACCCGUUCGGCACCUUACGAGAAACCAAAGUGUUUGGUUUC